rnacentral:rRNA from 1 species
GAUGAACGCUAGCUACAGGCUUAACACAUGCAAGUCGAGGGGAAACGAUAGAGAAAGCUUGCUUUUUCUAGGCGUCGACCGGCGCACGGGUGAGUAACGCGUAUCCAACCUGCCCAUCACUUGGGGAUAACCUUGCGAAAGUAAGACUAAUACCCAAUGACGUCCAUAGAAGACAUCUGAAAUGGAUUAAAGAUUUAUCGGUGAUGGAUGGGGAUGCGUCUGAUUAGCUUGUUGGCGAGGUAACGGCCAACCAAGGCGACGAUCAGUAGGGGUUCUGAGAGGAAGGUCCCCCACAUUGGAACUGAGACACGGUCCAAACUCCUACGGGAGGCAGCAGUGAGGAAUAUUGGUCAAUGGACGAGAGUCUGAACCAGCCAAGUAGCGUGCAGGAUGACGGCCCUAUGGGUUGUAAACUGCUUUUAUAAGGGAAUAAAGUGGGAGUCGUGACUCCUUUUGCAUGUACCUUAUGAAUAAGGACCGGCUAAUUCCGUGCCAGCAGCCGCAGUAA